UACCAGCUCUCCGAGUUGUAGGGAUGAUUAUUGGGCUUAAAGCGUCCGUAGCUGGCUUAGCAAGUCUCCUGUUAAAUUCAGCGACCUAAUCGUUGAGCCGCGGGAGAUACUACUAGGCUAGGAGGCGGGAGAGGUCGACGGUACUUUCGGGGUAGGGGUGAAAUCCUAUAAUCCCGGGAGGACCACCAGUGGCGAAGGCUGUCGACUAGAACGCGCUCGACGGUGAGGGACGAAAGCUGGGGGAGCGAACCGGAUUAGAUACCCGGGUAGUCCCAGCUGUAAACUAUGCGGGCUAGGUGUUGGGGUGGCUACGGGCCACUUCAGUGCCGCAGGAAAGCCAUUAAGCCCGCCGCCUGGGGAGUACGGCCGCAAGGCUGAAACUUAAAGGAAUUGGCGGGGAGCACCACAAGCGUGAAGCUUGCGGUUU
rnacentral:rRNA from 1 species